UUCUCUUUCAGAUGGACACGACCUGUCGAAUAUUCGUCUUGUAUUCGAUGUUAUAAUUCCCAUGCUUCUUUGCUGGCAAAAUUACAAGGAUAGUAGCACACACAGAAUUACAGAUGUCUGGAUGUGGAAUUCUGAUUCGAUGUACUCGGUGGCAGGACCUUUCGAAGGAUCGCUGUCCUAUAUUCACCUGGAAGGAGUAGUCUGCUGUCUCUACUGUCUGUCUGUCUGUGUCUCUAUCUAUCCCGCUGUCUGUCCGAUUGUAUGUCUGUUUGUCUGUCUGUCUGUCACAUCAAGCAAGAUAAAACCCAGCAGCCCAAAAAGUAUCUCGCAGCUAUUUAUAUCUCUCGUUUCCUUUCUCGUUCUUCCCUUCUCUCGCACCUCUCGUAUAUAUCUCCAUUAACCCUUUCCUUCCUCUCGUAGUUGCAUUCUUCUCUCUCUCUCUCUCUCUCUCUCUCUCUCUCUCUCUCUCUCUCGCCGGAGUGAUAUAUAGCGUUCCAAGCUUCCUCCGACUACAGAUAUUUGUAUGCUCUAAGUCUGGCUCCUUUCGGGGAAUUCCACACCCCUACCCCAACCCCGCCCCCUUACCCCAUCCCAGCUUCAAAGAUCUACUUAAGGUAAAGAUAAAGGGAAGCAAGAAGAAGAAGAUGAAGAAGAAGGAGAAGAAGAAGAAGAGGAGGAGGAAGAAGAAAGAAGAAUAAGGAGUUUGGAUUUCUUAUCUGGAGAUUCGAGAAGUGUUCGUUGGCUCUUCUGUAUCCUAAGUGUUUGUUUCCUUUCGCAAAGGAAGUGGCAUUUGUUUUUUUGUGUGUUGGUGAGAGUGCAGAGGACAACAGCAGUCAUCUUCCUCCCUGCCCUACGUAACCACAGUCCCUGUAUACCUUUGAUCAUGACCUUUGCUGGCACGAGGUCAACUUUAAUCUUAGAAAAUAAACUCUUGUUAUCC